AAAUAAAUUAAUGAAAUUACUUGUCUAAUAAUAUAAUAUUACGAUUUAUUUUAACAUUUAACUUAACAAUAUUUUUAAUUUACUUAAAAUAAAAGUUUUUAUAAAAAAAUUGAUUAAAUUCGUGCCAGCAAUCGCGGUUAAACCUAUAUUUUAACUAAACAAAACUCAAUUGAUUUAACAUUCUUAUUAAUGAUACUUUUAAGUAAAAUUUAAGUAUCCAACAUUAUACUCAAUUAGAAACUCCUAAUAAACUAGGAUUAGAUACCCUACUAUAAAAGAAACAUUAAGGUAGUACUUUAAACCUAUUCCUUUUGGCGGCGUAAGAUAAAAUCAAAGGAACUUGUUUUUUAAUCGAUAAUACUCGCUAAAUCUCACUUUUUAUAAAAGCUUAUAUACCGCCGUUUAAACAUUUUUAAAACAAUUUUUUAUACCUCUAUUUAAAACUUCAGGUCAAGGUGUAGCCCAUAAAAAAGCUAAAAUAAGUUACUAUAAAAGCUAUUUAUAGAAAUAAAAGAAACUCAAAUAAAACCGGAUUUAAAAACAAUAAUCUAAUAGUAAUAGAUUAUGAAAUUCAUUUAAACGUGCACAUAUCGCCCGUCACCCUCCUUCCAAAAGGAGGUAAGUCGUAACACAGUUGAUGUUCUGGAAAGAGCCUCAUGUUU
rnacentral:ncRNA from 1 species